GUGGGCUCUGGUACGCUCUAUACCCUUUGUGACAUACCUACAACUGUUGCUUCGGCGGGUAGGCCGUCCCCUGAAAAGGACGCCUCCCGGCCCGGACCGGACCCCCCGUGGGGCCGGACUCGGCGCCCGCCGGAGGAUAACCAAACGCUAUUUUAACGACGUUUCUUCUGAGUGGCAUAAGCAAAAUAAUCAAAACUUUUAACAACGGAUCUCUUGGUUCUGGCAUCGAUGAAGAACGCAGCGAAAUGCGAUAAGUAAUGUGAAUUGCAGAAUUCAGUGAAUCAUCGAAUCUUUGAACGCACAUUGCGCCCGCCAGCAUUCUGGCGGGCAUGCCUGUUCGAGCGUCAUUUCAACCCUCAAGCUCUGCUUGGUGUUGGGGCUCUACGGUCGACGUAGGCCCUCAAAGGUAGUGGCGGACCCUCCCGGAGCCUCCUUUGCGUAGUAACAUUUCGUCUCGCACUGGGAUCCGGAGGGACUCUUGCCGUAAAACCCCCCAAUUUUUCAAGGUUGACCUCGGAUCAGGUAGGAAUACCCGCUGAACUUAAGCAUAUCAAUAAGCCGGAGGAA
rnacentral:rRNA from 1 species